rnacentral:rRNA from 1 species
GCCAAACAGCUAGCUCAAUUACCCAAUAACUAAACAAUAUAAAUAAAACAAAAUAAGCCUAACACCAAAAAUUAAAUCAUUCUUUUACCUUAGUAUGGGCGACAGAAAAGGUUACACCUGGAGCAAUAGAAAAAGUACCGCAAGGGAAAGCUGAAAGAGAAAUGAAAUAACUUAUAUAAGCACCAAAAAGCAAAGAUUAAAUCUUGUACCUUUCGCAUCAUGAUUUAGCCAGUAUAUCCAAGCAAAGAGACCUUUAGUUUGAAACCCCGAAACCAAGUGAGCUACCCCGAGACAGCCUAUUAAGGGCCAACCCGUCUCUGUGGCAAAAGAGUGGGAAGAGCUCCGGGUAGAGGUGACAGACCUACCGAACUUGGUGAUAGCUGGUUGCCUAAGAAGUGAAUAGAAGUUCAGCCUCGUACUCCCUGAAUCAAAAGAUACAAAAAGAUAUUAGAGGGAAAUAUAUGAGAGUUAGUUAAAGGGGGUACAGCCCCUUUAACAAAGGACACAACCUUUCCAGGAGGAUAAAGAUCAUAAUACAUAAGACAUCCUGUUCUAGUGGGCCUAAAGGCAGCCAUCUAAACAGAAAGCGUUAAAGCUCAGACAGAAAUAAGUUUAUUAUUCCGACAAGAAAUCUUACUCCCCUAAAUAUUAUUAGGCCAGCCCAUGCCCACAUGGGAGAGACUAUGCUAAAAUGAGUAACAAGAAGGCCAGCCCUUCUCCAAGCACAAGUGUAAGCCAAACCGGACCGACCAUUGGCAAUUAACGAACUCAACCCGAGAGAGUAAUGUGUAUUACAACGAAACCAGGAAGAACCCACAAUUAACCCAUCGUUACCCCCACACUGGCGUGCUAUUAAAGGAAAGACUAAAAGAAGGGAAAGGAACUCGGCAAACACAAGCCUCGCCUGUUUACCAAAAACAUCGCCUCCUGCAACACAACCAAGUAUAGGAGGUCCAGCCUGCCCAGUGACUACAAGUUCAACGGCCGCGGUAUUUUGACCGUGCAAAGGUAGCGCAAUCACUUGUCUCUUAAAUGGAGACCUGUAUGAAUGGCUAAACGAGGGCUUAACUGUCUCCCCCCUCCAGUCAGUGAAAUUGAUCUACCCGUGCAGAAGCGGG